AGAGAAUGAGCGUUGAUUUGAGUUUUAUUCACGCAAUAUCCAAGACAUACAACAUGAAACAACAAACAGUAUUACGGAUGCGUGAAAGGUCACCCCAAACAAGCUAUUUAAAGCUUUUAAUAGGGGGCCUGGUUUCCCAUAAGUAUCAGAUAUUGGCCAGAUAUCCUUACA